ensembl:lncRNA LINC00347 long intergenic non-protein coding RNA 347
AUUUGGACAAGUCAUUUAACUUCACUGCAAUUCUGUUUCCCUCAUUUGAAAAAUAGAAAUAGAAAAGCCUGCUGUAUAUUUAGGUCCACAUCUGUUGGGGAGGUCAAAGAAGAAAGAAUAUGAAAAGUUGUUUGUAAAUAUAAAGAACCAUGUAAAUAUAAGACAUUGUUUUAUUAAUGCUCCAGAUCAAUUAACUUUCAGUGAAUGAUAAAAUGUGACAUCUUUUCAACAGAGACAGUUUUACUUAAGAAAAACUAGGCAAUGGCUUCUGUCCUUACAAAUGAAAAACUUCAUAAUAAAUGGGGGCUCUCAAGACCACCUGGCCAAAACUGAACUAAAUACUCACUUCAUUCAACCAAGAAUGAGGAACUGAAAUACAUGAUUAUUAUAUAUGCAUAUGCUUCUGUUUCAUCUACUUGGGCAUGCUUGUGAUGAGAUAUGAAAAAUUAGCCAUCUUUAGAAGGAAAGAAAUAUUGUAUUUGGGGGUAUUUCUUCUGUACAGACAAUUGGCCUGGUUAUUGUCUAAAGGACAGUAAUGAAGGAAGGCAUUACUGAAGAAGAAUCAACGUGAGCAAAAAUGAAAUGAGAAAGCAUCCUGAUCUUAUUUUGUGUAUGCCAUUGAUUUGUUGGAGAAAAUGUGUCAUCCACCUUGCUGAAUCCUCCACAUUCUGAGUGUGGCUGCUUGCUACUGGAGGAUUCCAUCUUGGGCCAGUGGAAACCAUCUUCACAUUGGAUCUUGUUUCCUACUGACGUGCAAGUGGUAUUGAGAGACGAUCAAGGAUCUGGAGUGCUCAUUGUUAUUGGUUUUCAAUACUUCUAGGCAUUUUUAAGAAAACAGAGCUAAAUAUACAUGUGUGUACAAGAAAAA